AGCAGCCGCGGUAAUUCCAGCUCCAAUAGCGUAUAUUAAAGUUGUUGCAGUUAAAAAGCUCGUAGUUGAAUUUCGGGGUCAAUAAGUUGGUCGUGCCAAUGGUAUGCACUGGCUUUAUUGAUUCCUACCUCUUGACGAACUGUGAUGCCAUUAAUUUGGUGUCGCAAGGAAUCAGGACUGUUACCUUGAAAAAAUUAGAGUGUUUAAAGCAGGCUUACGCUUGAAUACAUUAGCAUGGAAUAAUGAAAUAGGACGUUUGAACCUAUUUUGUUGGUUUCUAGGAUCGACGUAAUGAUUAAUAGGGAUAGUUGGGGGCAUUAGUAUUCAAUUGUCAGAGGUGAAAUUCUUGGAUUUAUUGAAGACUAACUACUGCGAAAGCAUUUGCCAAGGAUGUUUUCAUUAAUCAAGAACGAAAGUUAGGGGAUCGAAGACGAUCAGAUACCGUCGUAG
rnacentral:rRNA from 1 species